GUUAGAGGCACGCCCCGCCCCCUGCCGCCUCACUUCCUGUUUGCUCCGUGUGCGUGUCUGCAGGGUCUGUUUAAUUGCUGGGGAAGCUGCUGCUAUGCUAACCCUUGUUCAGAAGCGCUGCUGCUUUGCCUACACGGGCUGUGUUCAUGCUGCUUCGUCCACACUGCUUCGCCUACACCGGCGUUGCCAGCCGGUGCUUUGCCUUUGCUUAACUUGGCUUUAAAUCUACGCUGUCCACCGGUGCCUGCUGUACUGCUGACUGGUUCUUCUCCAACUGCUUCUCCCAACCAUCUGCGUAUAGCUGGCUGUUAUCGUGUGGACUUUAUAAUUGUGGACUGCAUAUGGACAUAACUAACCGCCGACCUCUUACCCUGGGUUAUCUUAAUAGUAUGAAUGAGUGUACAAGGGGUUCAUUUUGUUAAUUUGUUUAACCAUCCCUUGGUAGUCUGGGGCCUUUUAGUGGCCGUUUUGGUAAGCAACCGGAACCAGAGUGAGUGAGACAGGAUCCGGAAUUCGAUGGAUGCGCCUUUCCGUCAAAAUAAAAGCACCAAGCUAAUAAAAAUGCGGUGAAACUUUUUAAUUUAAAGAAUAUAAUUUACAAGAAAACUCCCAAGCCAUUAAGUUAACCUUUUCUUUUGUUGUAUUUAAUUGUAUUACAAGUUAUUGUCUGUUUCAGUUGUCUCUAAAUGGUCUUGCCCCAGAGUACCUCUCUGAGCUACACACCCAGCCGAUCGCUCAGGUCAGCUGACCUGAGGGUUCCCAAAACUAGGCUGAAGCUCAGAGGGGACCGAGCGUUUUUGGUUGCAGCUCCAAAAUUGUGGAAUGAACUGCCGCUGCACAUUAGACAGGCCUCCUCACUGUCUAAGUUUAAAACUCUUCUUAAAACGCACCUCUUUUCUUUGGCUUUUAACACCUCGUAGUUUGUUAAUUCUAUGUAGUAUUUUGUCUUUAUUAUGUUUUAUUGUGUUUAUUUUACUGUACAGCACUUUGGAAACCUUUUGUUUAUUUAGAUUGUGCUUUAUAAAUAAAAUGGAUUGGAUUGUUGUCUGAAAUCGAUUUUACUUUGGUGAACACGUUUACUUGGUGAAUUCCGGAUCCGCUCUCUAGACUGGAGCCAGAAUCCAGACAAAAUUCAGAGUGAAUAGAAACCAGGCUCUUUGUCUUACGUGAAGAGUCUGGUGAUGCAAGGCUGAUCCCUUGUGGGUGAUUUGACUUAUUUAUGUAUCCCUGAUUUGCUAUUCAUUACGCCAUCACGUGACUGUUUCUUUCUUUCUAGUAAUAUAUUAGUUAUUUUGGUGUAGCUUUUGGUUUAUUGUUUGUCACGUGAUGUAGAUUUUCUUUAAGUGAUUCUUUUGUUUAUUUCUUUUUGAUUACUGUAUUUGCUACUGUUUGUUUAUUUUGAUUCUUUUGAUUCAGUCAUGAGGAUAUGGUUUUCCGCUUCCUUGUAUUAUUCCUUUUCUGAAUUUGUUCUGUUUCGUUAUUGAUAGUGGGAUUGUGACAGCUCGUAUAACCCUGCAUUUACUUGUAUAACUAGCUUAGUUGUGGCUGCCAACCACCUAUACUAACCCCAUGUUUAUGUUUUGUUCAAUUGUGUGACUGGUUUGAGGAAACCCCCUUUAAUGCUUUUGCCCUCUUUCUCCCUUUUCAGAAGCUGAGUGCCUAAGGUGGUGGUACUGGUGCUCCUGGGUGGUGGUAUCUCCCUCCUGUGUGUUGUGUUGUGCACCCCUGGUCUUGAGUGUGUUCACCACCGUGUAUGAGAGUGUAUGAGUGCUCACGUGUGUCUGGGGUGACCUUCCCUGAGUUCCUCAUCUACCCUAGUUGACCAGUUGCCCCACUGGUAAGCCUCAGCUCUGAUUAGGCCCCAGUUUCCCCUUUUUCACUAAGUGUGUGUGUGUGUGUGUGUGUGUGUGAAUAAGAUUUGGAACGUUUUAAAAAAUUUUGUAAUAAAGAAUCAAUAUCUUCUUUUAAACAGAA